rnacentral:rRNA from 1 species
GACGAACGCUGGCGGCGUGCUUAACACAUGCAAGUCGAACGGAAAGGCCCCUUCGGGGGUACUCGAGUGGCGAACAGGUGAGUAACACGUGAGUAACCUGCCCUUGACUUCGGGAUAACUUCAGGAAACUGGGGCUAAUACCGGAUAGGAAUCCUUGCUGCAUGGUGGGGGUUGGAAAGCUUCGGCGGUUUUGGAUGGACUCGCGGCUUAUCAGCUUGUUGGUGGGGUAGUGGCUUACCAAGGCUUUGACGGGUAGCCGGCCUGAGAGGGCGACCGGCCACAUUGGGACUGAGAUACGGCCCAGACUCCUACGGGAGGCAGCAGUGGGGAAUAUUGCACAAUGGGCGGAAGCCGGAUGCAGCAACGCCGCGUGCGGGAGGACGGCCUUCGGGUUGGAAACCGCUUUCAGCAGGGGCGAAGCUUGUGGUGACGGUACCUGCAGAAGAAGCACCGGCUAACUACGUG